rfam:Vigna angularis cultivar Jingnong 6 scaffold482_19, whole genome shotgun sequence.
CUGCACGAUGUCUCCCGGGCUUCUCUGAUCAAUGCAUGACGUGAAAGCCCCAAUACACGUGCCAAAUCGGCGCCGUUCGUGUUGCAGUUUUGUCCCAAUUUCUUGGCUAAUCUGUGUCUAAACAAUGGCAAGAUUU